rnacentral:rRNA from 1 species
UACAGAGGGGGCAAGCGUUGUUCGGAAUUACUGGGCGUAAAGGGCGCGUAGGUGGCCUUCUAAGUUGAACGUGAAAUCCCUGGGCUCAACCCAGGAACUGCGUCCAAGACUGGGAGGCUUGAAUCCGGGAGAGGGAUGCGGAAUUCCAGGUGUAGCGGUGAAAUGCGUAGAUAUCUGGAGGAACACCGGUGGCGAAGGCGGCAUCCUGGACCGAAACUGACGCUGAGGCGCGAAAGCCAGGGGAGCAAACGGG